rnacentral:rRNA from 1 species
AGAGUUUGAUCAUGGCUCAGAACGAACGCUGGCGGCAGGCUUAACACAUGCAAGUCGAACGCCCCGCAAGGGGAGUGGCAGACGGGUGAGUAACGCGUGGGAACAUACCCUUUCCUGCGGAAUAGCUCCGGGAAACUGGAAUUAAUACCGCAUACGCCCUACGGGGGAAAGAUUUAUCGGGGAAGGAUUGGCCCGCGUUGGAUUAGCUAGUUGGUGGGGUAAAGGCCUACCAAGGCGACGAUCCAUAGCUGGUCUGAGAGGAUGAUCAGCCACAUUGGGACUGAGACACGGCCCAAACUCCUACGGGAGGCAGCAGUGGGGAAUAUUGGACAAUGGGCGCAAGCCUGAUCCAGCCAUGCCGCGUGAGUGAUGAAGGCCUUAGGGUUGUAAAGCUCUUUCACCGAUGAAGAUAAUGACGGUAGUCGGAGAAGAAGCCCCGGCUAACUUCGUGCCAGCAGCCGCGGUAAUACGAAGGGGGCUAGCGUUGUUCGGAAUUACUGGGCGUAAAGCGCACGUAGGCGGAUAUUUAAGUCAGGGGUGAAAUCCCGCAGCUCAACUGCGGAACUGCCUUUGAUGCUGGGUAUCUUGAGUAUGAAAGAGGUAAGUGGAAUUCCGAGUGUAGAGGUGAAAUUCGUAGAUAUUCGGAGGAACACCAGUGGCGAAGGCGGCUUACUGGUCCAUUACUGACGCUGAGGUGCGAAAGCGUGGGGAGCAAACAGGAUUAGAUACCCCGGUAGUCC